rnacentral:lncRNA from 1 species
CUUUCCAGAAAAGCAGGGUGUGUGACUCAGAUUUCCACCCGAAGGUGGUCCUUGAGAGAAGGUCUUAGAUGUUUAGAAGAGGUUAUGUUACAUUCUUUGGUAUCACUUAUUAUUUCCUUCAGGCAAACCACAUGUCAGAGGACUUCAAUCUGAAAAUGACAACCACAGUUUCCUAUUAGACAAGAAGUGACAGGUUACCGUAAUCCAGCUGACUCUAUCCCAUCCUGGCUUUGAUGAAGUAAGCUGCUGUGAUGCAAACUGCUCUCUGGAGAGGUGACAAACCUAAGGCAGGCUUUGGACAAUACCUAGGAAGAAACUGAGACCCUCAGUCCUACAACCUGCAAAGAACCAAAUUCUGCCAACAACCAAACAACCAUAUGAGCUUGAAAGCAGAUUCUUCCUGAGCUGAGCCUUGACAGAAGAAUACAUCUCAUACCUAAGUCUUGAUUGCAGCCAGAUGAGAGACUCUGAAGCAGAGGAUUCAGCUACUCUGUGCCCAGACUCCUGACUCACAGAAACUGUGAGCUAACAAUGUAUGGUAUUUUAAGCCACCAAGUUUGCGGUAAUUUGUUAUGAGCAGUAGAUAACUAACAUGCUGCUACAAUAAUUUCGAUACUUUUCAUUAAUUUAUGUCUUUGAGAAUCAGUCUACAGACAGAAUACAAAGAAGAAUGGAUAUGAAAAUGCAACAGUAUUUUAAGUCUUUUCAAACUCAGCGUCGUGAAAGUAAGAAAUUGGGGUGUGGAGUGGAUGUGGGAAGUAGAGAAGAAAUGGUAGGUAAUAGUGCUUAUAGGUUCAUUUUAUAAUGUGAGGAGUCAGCUUUAUGUAACAAGGAAUAAAGGCGUAGAUCUAUUAUGUAAAUUUACAAAAGGAAAAAAGUGGGUGAAGUAAAAAUAUUAUGAAUAAAGAAGAUGGGAUACUUUGAGUGAACCAAAGUAGCAUUUCUCAGGGAAGGAAGUUAAUAGAAUGCUACAUGAUAAAGCAAUAUGGUAGAAACCUGUUAGUGAGAUAGCUGGAAGUAACUAGCAGUAGAAACAACGACUAGAGUUGAAAGUAGUUGCCUCUUGUCAUAAGAGAAUGAAGCAAUAGGGUGUUAAUUUUCAUUUUCCCUAUAAACUAGGUCAUUUGAAACCUUAUAUAUAUUUUACUUUAAAAAUUAUAAUGAAAAUAAAUACACAAAAUGUGAAUUAUAUUAUUUAAAUCAUAAAUUAGAAACAAAGAGUAUUUGUUAUUUAUUCCAAAAUAUCAAUUCUGGCUUUCUGGCUCACUGACAUUUUCAGGAUUCUCCCCUGCUUUCUAAAUAUUUUUUUGCCUUAUUUUUCAAUUUUGCUGAUGAUACAAAUAAUACAUGUUCACCUUAAAUAAUUUUAAAAAGUGUAAAGACAUUGUAACUAAUAUAUAAUAUCUGACAUUCUACCAUUGUGGAAUAAUUACCAUUGACAUUUUGGUGAAUAUUUUUUCUUGCUUCUAUUUCUGCACCCUUAAAACAUACUGCUAAGUCUAGUCUCGAACUCCUGGUUUUGACAUCUACCAGCCUUAUUUUUAAUCUCAUUUUCAUUAAUGGGAUUAUAUCAUAAUAUCACUUUUAAUAUUGGAUAGAAUACUCUUCCUCACUUCAUAUUUUCCAUCUCUGCUUGUAUAUUUAUUUUGCAUUUCUAAGAAAUUAUGCAUAUUAAUAGACAGUUGUGUGUUGAUUUCUCUAUUGUUUCAUGAUUGUAUAAUUGAGGUAAUGCAUGCAGAUAGUCGAUCUAAAUUUCUAUUACUGAAUAUAAAAAUUUAUUAGUGAAGCAAAUUAAAUACUAUAUUAAUAUAUAUCUACAUAUAAUUCCAUGUAAAGACAAUUUGUGGCUAAGAAGAAAUUAUUCUAUGCAUAUAUGUAAAUUAAUACACAGGUACACUCACAUACACACCAUCUCCUUGACCUGAAAGACAGCAGUCUCAACCAU